rnacentral:rRNA from 1 species
GCGCAAUGGGCGGAAGCCUGACGCAGCGACGCCGCGUGGGGGAUGACGGCCUUCGGGUUGUAAACCUCUUUCGCCAGGGACGAAGCGAGAGUGACGGUACCUGGAUAAGAAGCACCGGCCAACUACGUGCCAGCAGCCGCGGUAACACGUAGGGUGCGAGCGUUGUCCGGAAUUAUUGGGCGUAAAGAGUUCGUAGGCGGUGUGUCGCGUCGGCCGUGAAAACCUGUGGCUUAACCAUGGGCGUGCGGUCGAUACGGGCAUCACUUGAGUUCGGCAGGGGAGACUGGAAUUCCUGGUGUAGCGGUGAAAUGCGCAGAUAUCAGGAGGAACACCGGUGGCGAAGGCGGGUCUCUGGGCCGAUACUGACGCUGAGGAGCGAAAGCGUGGGGAGCGAACAGGAUUAGAUACCCUGGUAGUCCACGCCGUAAACGUUGGGCGCUAGGUGUGGGGACCAUUCCACGGUUUCUGUGCCGCAGCUAACGCAUUAAGCGCCCCGCCUGGGGAGUAUGGCCGCAAGGCU